UACGAAGGGGGGCUAGCGUUGCUCGGAAUUACUGGGCGUAAAGCGCACGUAGGCGGCUUUCUAAGUCAGGGGUGAAAUCCUGGAGCUCAACUCCAGAACUGCCUUUGAUACUGGAGAGCUUGAGUCCGGGGAGAGGUGAGUGGAACUCCGAGUGUAGAGGUGAAAUUCGUAGAUAUUCGGAAGAACACCAGUGGCGAAGGCGGCUCACUGGCCCGGUACUGACGCUGAUGUGCGAAAG
rnacentral:rRNA from 1 species